rnacentral:rRNA from 1 species
AAAUUUGGAUUAAUACCCCRUAAGAAUGUGGAYUGGCAUCAGUCAGCAUUUAAAGAUUUAUCACUUGAAGAUGGGCGUGCGUCUGAUUAGGUAGUUGGUGAGGUAACGGCUCACCAAGCCGACGAUCAGUAACUGGCGUGAGAGCGCGACCAGUCACACGGGCACUGAGACACGGGCCCGACUCCUACGGGAGGCAGCAGUAAGGAAUAUUGGUCAAUGGACGCAAGUCUGAACCAGCCAUGCCGCGUGGAGGAUGAAGGCCCUCUGGGUUGUAAACUUCUUUUAUUUGGGACGAAACACUUCUUUUCUAAGGAGCUUGACGGUACCAGAUGAAUAAGCACCGGCUAACUCCGUGCCAGCAGCCGCGGUAAUACGGAGGGUGCAAGCGUUAUCCGGAUUCACUGGGUUUAAAGGGUGCGUAGGCGGACAUGUAAGUCCGUGGUGAAAUCUCCGAGCUUAACUYGGAAACUGCCAUGGAUACUAUAUGUCUUGAAUGUUGUGGAGGUUAGCGGAAUAUGUCAUGUAGCGGUGAAAUGCAUAGAUAUGACAUAGAACACCAAUUGCGAAGGCAGCUGGCUACACAAAUAUUGACGCUGAGGCACGAAAGCGUGGGGAUCAAACAGGAUUAGAUACCCUGGUAGUCCACGCCCUAAACGAUGAUUACUCGACAUACGCGAUACACAGUGUGUGUCUGAGCGAAAGCAUUAAGUAAUCCACCUGGGAAGUACGACCGCAAGGUUGAAACUCAAAGGA